GUGGCGCUGGGGACCGCGGAACCCUUGCCUGCCCUUUCGUGUCUGUGCGCACCUGGAAGCACUGCUAGCAGAGCGGCGGAAAUUCCCCUUAUCACGAUGUUUAAAAAUGGAGAUGCAGGAACACAAACCUAUUUCUUCCCUUGGCGACUGGCAGGCGAAAUAACCACCGCCUUCAAGGAAAUCAAAUCUACCCGCAAGAUAUCAGAUACCACCCUGCAAGCCCAACGUUCGUGUGCAAAACUUCACACAUACGAUGCAGAGUGAAGAGUGUGCUUAAAAGGGCAGGCUUCCUGAGGUGCAUGGAAGAGGUGGAUCGGGGCAGCCAGAAAACCCUUUCUAAGGGGUGGUUGCCCAGCCUCUGAAGGUGAUAUUGGUUGAGUGAUACCAGCCAUACAAGACUGCCUUGGAACCACACCCAUCUGAGACUCAAUAAUUCUCAGAGUUGGAAGAGAUGCAACCAUUGAGUGUAGUGUAGGUCUUGUCUACAACAUCCUAGACCAUGGCCUCUUAAGCUGCGAAUAUUCCAAUGACUCCCCGUUCCCUGGUCCAUGAGAUCACCUCUGAAGUUUCUGGAACAGUUCUAGUUGCUAUAAAGUUUUUUUGUUGGUGGUGG